UUCCUACGGGGGGCAGCAGUGGGGGAUAUUGCACAAUGGGGGAAACCCUGAUGCAGCGACGCCGCGUGGGUGAAGAAGUCAUUCGUGACGUAAAGCCCUAUCAGCAGGGAAGAAAAUGACGGUACCUGACUAAGAAGCCCCGGCUAACUACGUGCCAGCAGCCGCGGUAAUACGUAGGGGGCAAGCGUUAUCCGGCUUUACUGGGUGUAAAGGGGGGGCAGACGGCGAUGCAAGCCAGGAGUGAAAG
rnacentral:rRNA from 1 species